rnacentral:rRNA from 1 species
CGGACGGGUGAGUAAUGUAUGGGGAUCUGCCUGAUGGCGGGGGAUAACUACUGGAAACGGUAGCUAAUACCGCAUAAUGUCUACGGACCAAAGCGGGGGACCUCCGGGCCUCGCGCCAUCAGAUGAACCCAUACGGGAUUAGCUUGUAGGUAAGGUAACGGCUUACAUAGGCGACGAUCCCUAGCUGGUCUGAGAGGAUGAUCAGCCACACUGGGACUGAGACACGGCCCAG